rnacentral:rRNA from 1 species
GACGAACGCUGGCGACGCGCUUAACACAUGCAAGUCGAACGGAAAGGCCUGCUUUCCCUUGUGGAUUGCGGGUACUCGAGUGGCGAACGGGUGAGUAACACGUGAGUGAUCUGCCCCCAACUUGGGUAUAAGCCUGGGAAACUGGGUCUAAUUCCCGAUAGGACUGCAGGGUGGUGCCUGUGGUGGAAAACGAUUUUCUAGUGGUUGGGGAUGAGCCCGCGGCCUAUCAGCUUGUUGGUGGGGUAAUGGCCUACCAAGGCGGCGACGGGUAGCCGGCCUGAGAGGGUGGACGGCCACAUUGGGACUGAGAUACGGCCCAGACGCCUACGGGAGGCAGCAGUGGGGAAUAUUGCACAAUGGGCGGAAGCCUGAUGCAGCGACGCCGCGUGGGGGAUGACGGCCUUCGGGUUGUAAACUCCUUUCGACCGCGAGGAAGCCACCUGGUUGGAAGGGUGGUGACGGUAGUGGUAGAAGAAGCACCGGCUAACUACGUG